GGAGCUGAGAAUGUAAGCCUGUUGAAGCCAAGCAGGCAAGAAAAGCUGAAAGGAAGGGACUGAUCCCUCAGGCCUGUCUUUGCCUAGAUUUAUCAAUCAGGCAAGGAAAAUUCAGGCCCAGGGAAUUCUUGGGCAAAAACUUCGGAGAUGACAGAGGCAUUGGAUAAUGCAAGAGAUCACUCUGACCAAGUCGCAGGGGUCAAAAUGAUUGGAAAUAUUCCAAGUAAUGCCUGAUCAGCAGAGAGGAUCAAACUAUAGAAGAAAAGAUUAAGAACGGAAGACAGGAGAAACAAGUAAAAGACCAGGAACUCCAAACAGUAGAUGGAACACAGGCAGAGAAGGAGCUUGACAAGGGAUCUGGGUAUGAGAGGUCCAGAAUGAACCCUCCAGAAAUGAAAAGUCUGGCUUUUGUUCGUGUUUCCCUUGUCCUACCAGAGCUAAGGAGUGAAUCAUUUACUCACCAAAUUUGAGUGUAGGCAUUUAUGGAGCCAAAUAGUUUGAAAUAAAG
rnacentral:lncRNA from 1 species